UACAGAGGUCUCAAGCGUUGUUCGGAUUCAUUGGGCGUAAAGGGUGCGUAGGCGGCGGGGCAAGUCUGAUGUGAAAUCCCGGGGCUCAACCCCGGAACUGCAUUGGAUACUGCUCUGCUUGAGCACUGGAGAGGAGACUGGAAUUUACGGUGUAGCAGUGAAAUGCGUAGAUAUCGUAAGGAAGACCAGUGGCGAAGGCGAGUCUCUGGACAGUUGCUGACGCUGAGGCACGAAGGCCAGGGGAGCAAACGGG
rnacentral:rRNA from 1 species